AGAUCAAUUAUCCUACAUGGAUAACUGUGGUAAUUCUAGAGCUAAUACAUGCAUUUAAGAGAGACCUCACGGAAUCGGCGCAUUUAUUAGAUCAAAGCCAAUCGGACGUAAGUCCGCUCUUUGGUGAAUCUGAAUAACUCAGCAGAUCGCACGGUCCUCGUACCGGCGACGUUUCUUUCAACAAUCUGCCCUAUCAACUUUCGAUGGUAGUUUAUGCGCCUACCAUGGUUGUUACGGGUAACGGGGAAUCAGGGUUCGAUUCCGGAGAGGGAGCCUGAGAAACGGCUACCACAUCCAAGGAAGGCAGCAGGCACGCAAAUUACCCACUCCCGGCACGGUGAGGUAGUGACGAAAAAUAACGAGAUGAUUCUCUAAGAGGGUCAUCAUCGGAAUGAGCACAAUUUAAAUCCUUUAACGAGGAUCUAUUGGAGGGCAAGUCUGGUGCCAGCAGCCGCGGUAAUUCCAGCUCCAAUAGCGUAUAUUAAAUUUGUUGCGUUUAAAAAGCUCGUAGUUGGAUCUCGGUCCAGGAUUGCGGUCCCCCUAACGGGUGGUUACUGCUUUUCCUGACCGAAAAUAUCCGGUUCGCCCUUGGUGCUCUUUACUGACUGUCUUGGGUGGCUGGAAAAUUUACUUUGAAAAAAUUAGAGUGCUUAAAGCAGGCGUAAGCCUGAAUAUUGGUGCAUGGAAUAAUGGAAUAGGACCUCGGUUCUAUUUUGUUGGUUUUCAAACCCGAGGUAAUGACUAAGAGGGACACACGGAGGCAUUAGUAUUCCUACGUUAGAGGUGAAAUUCUUGGAUCUUCCCACGACUUACUCCUGUAAAAGCGUUUUCCUAGAAUGUUUUAUUUAUUCAUAAACAAUUCUUGAGGUUUAACGGUGAUUAGAUACCGCCCCAAUUCCAACCGUAACCAC
rnacentral:rRNA from 1 species